GUUCUCUUAUAGCCUCAAGGUAGCAGGUCUGCUUAGCAACACUCUAGGAAGAAGCACCGAGGCCACAUCAUCCUUUUUGCAAUAUCUGCAAACCCAACUACUCGUAUGAACCCUCUGUGGAGGUUAUUUUCCACAGCCUGAUGUUCUUUUGUGGAAAAUGAGGAGGCGGCUGAAUAUAUUUAGCACAAGACGUGCAGUUCAGAGUUAUUCAUGUGAUUUAUUUCUUCAUAAUAACAAGCAAAGGCUAUAACUGUGUUAUCUUUGCACAUUAGUAUCCUCCAAUCCUUUUUAUUUAUUUCCCGACCAUAAAGAACCAAACAUCUGAUGCAUCUCUUUUUCUCCUCAUAUUGUCUUUUCAUUGUGUAUCCUGUAACGGCACAUUAUUUGUACACCAUCAUUCAAAGCCAUUGCAACUCAAAGUGCUUUAUAGAAGACAUACGUUUAUUUCAGAUCUUUCAGAAUUGUAAGAAAUGACAUUUAUACAUGGAGCUUUACGAGAGUAGAAUGAGACGAAAAUGGUAGAAAAUCAAUUAAAUGUGUUACUCUGAGGUAAGUUGUUCUGCAAGACAUGAAUGAAGAAUUUAAAAAGUAACGGUAUAAUUAUAGGAACCUAUCUUGGUCUGUGUUGUGUUGUGUGUGUGUUUUUUUUUUUUUUGUGCCAGUACCCAUGCAACUCGAUCUCCGUGAUGAAAGGCAGCUGGAGAGAGAGUGCGUGUCCUUCUUUGUGCCCAUCGCCACCAAAAGCCACGAGCGGCCACUCACUCCACCGCCGGUGCCCGGCUGCUGUCCUUCAUGAGACACACUGACCGAUGCCAUCUCUACAUACGUACCCAUCCCCACACGCAAGCACUCUACCUGUCCCCUGUGAACAUGCCGGAGUGAUGCGGCAGUGGCUACGUUGUGGAUGUGCGGCUCUGUCCACCAGAACGGGCCUGCAGGUCAUCUGUGGGGACGCUGACGGCUCCUAUUGUCCGGCAGGAGACCCACAGCACGGACGCUGUCGACACAACCUUUCUGUUGCUGGGCUUCGUCUUGAUGGUACUUUGACUGAAACAGCUUUCCAAAUGGCAAAUCCAAUCAAUGCCGGUGUUCCUCAGAAAGAACAAAGAGGUCCGUGAAACAGCCAAUUCGUUCUACCGAUGGUCAACAAGAAGACGAUUCACUGCGCUCCAAUCACUUGCGUACAAGUCCCUCCUGAUCCAGCAUGGAUAAUUGGUAAUCAAUUUAAUGCUGAUUACAGUAGAUGUAAUUUGAAGAUGACACAUCGCAUAAGUUCCUUUGAAAUUUCCCCUGACGAUAAUAAACAGCAUGUUAUAUGUGCAGUGUAGGCAUUGACCUCAUAUUGUUAUCUGCAUUUCUUAACUAACCCAUAGCUUUAGCGUACUAACCUAUAUUUCACUAUAUUUUAUUAUAUAUUUAUCUUAUUCCUGCACUACGUUGUCCAUUGUCGUACUGUCUGCCGCCAUGCGCCAAGUCCAUACAUUCCAUGUAUGUCUGACAUAUUAUGGCAAUAAACGAUUCCUGAUUCCUGAUUC